CCUACGGGGAGCAGCAGUGAGGAAUAUUGGUCAAUGGACGAGAGUCUGAACCAGCCAAGUAGCGUGAAGGAUGACUGCCCUAUGGGUUGUAAACUUCUUUUAUAUGGGAAUAAAAUGUUCCACGUGUGGGAUUUUGUAUGUACCCUAUGAAUAAGGAUCGGCUAACUCCGUGCCAGCAGCCGCGGUAAUACGGAGGAUCCGAGCGUUAUCCGGAUUUAUUGGGUUUAAAGGGAGCGUAGGUGGAUUGUUAAGUCAGUUGUGAAAGUUUGCGGCUCAACCGUAAAAUUGCAGUUGAAACUGGCAGUCUUGAGUACAGUAGAGGUGGGCGGAAUUCGUGGUGUAGCGGUGAAAUGCUUAGAUAUCACGAAGAACUCCGAUUGCGAAGGCAGUUCACUGGACUGCAACUGACACUGAGGCUCGAAAGUGUGGGUAUCAAACAGGAUUAGAUACCCCUGUAGUC
rnacentral:rRNA from 1 species